GUGUCUCAGCUGCCUACUGAGUUUGACGGAUCCUUCCCCUUUUCACACAGCGCCUGGGUCUGCUUCAGAACGAGAGUGGAACAGCUAACCAGUCACUGUGAGGACGCUGUCAACCUCCUGCAGAGUACCAUCACAGGUCUGGAGUCUACUGUCCUGCCAGCUACUGCUGAGGAGGCCCAGGUGUUACUUGCCAGGUACAGG